UCUACAGCCUUCAUACAGCCUGUAAUAUGACCCGAAACUCACACACUGACAUGACCAAAAUACUAUUUAGCUUCAAAAUAAUCUGUGUAACUCCAUGAAAUUAAGUUUUGGGAUGACAUAUUUAUGUAAUCAUUUACAAUGCUUUUUAACAAGAAAUGCAAUUUAGCUACAUAAUAACCUUGUUUGUAUCUCAAGGAAAUGACGUUUGGAGAUGCUUAAUUUAUGUAACACAUAAUCAAACAAGCCAGGUCCCAGACAUGUCUGUGCUGUUGUCAACUCAUGGCUAUAGCAUGGCAAUGAGUGACAAGGACUUGGUAUGAUACCACAAACAGACUGUCACUCGGGCUACAAUAAGUCCUCCAUCCUUUUAGGUGUCAUGACAACUGAGCAUGAAGUAGUCGUUCAUUCAUCAAGGUGUUACCAUUCCCCUUUCUGUCAUGAUCACUGUAGUCGUUCAUUCAUCAAGGUGUUACCAUUCCCCUUUCUGUCAUGAUCACUGUAGUCGUUCAGUCAUCAAGGUGUUACCAUUCCCCUUUCUGUCAUGAUCACUGUAGUCGUUCAUUCAUCAAGGUGUUACUACCAUUCCCCUUUCUGUCAUGAUCACUGUAGUCGUUCAUUCAUCAAGGUGUUACCAUUCCCCUUUCUGUCAUGAUCACUGUAGUCGUUCAGUCAUCAAGGUGUUACCAUUCCCCUUUCUGUCAUGAUCACUGUAGUCGUUCAUUCAUCAAGGUGUUACUAUUCCCCUUUCUGUCAUGAUCACUGUAGUCGUUCAUUCAUCAAGGUGUUACCAUUCCCCUUUCUGUCAUGAUCACUGUAGUCGUUCAUUCAUCAAGGUGUUACUACCAUUCCCCUUUCUGUCAUGAUCACUGUAGUCGUUCAUUCAUCAAGGUGUUACCAUUCCCCUUUCUGUCAUGAUCACUGUAGUCGUUCAUUCAUCAAGGUGUUACUACCAUUCCCCUUUCUGUCAUGAUCACUGUAGUCGUUCAUUCAUCAAGGUGUUACCAUUCCCCUUUCUGUCAUGAUCACUGUAGUCGUUCAUUCAUCAAGGUGUUACCAUUCCCCUUUCUGUCAUGAUCACUGUAGUCGUUCAUUCAUCAAGGUGUUACCAUUCCCCUUUCUGUCAUGAUCACUGUAGUCGUUCAUUCAUCA